CCUCUGGACUUGGCAUGGGGGAGAAAUUCUAACGACUUUGGGGAAUGAACUCAGUUUAUUCAAUAUUUGACUCAGACAUCACUGCAUGCCAUGUAAUUUUUUCUUCCAUACAGGGAAUCAAUUGAGUUUGUUGUCAAUCAGAAAAUCAUUCUAGUUUGUCAAUUAUAGAUUGUUAACUAUGACCAAGGCUGAUGUUACAAUGGAUGAGGGAAUGUAAGCCACCAAGAGCAGCCUGAGAAUUGAGAAUUUCAUUCACAAUCAAGGAGGAGGAGACAGCUGGCAGAGUCAAGAGCCUGAGAGUCCAGUCCUCUCCAUCACAACAAUGGACAUAUUCUGAUGAAGCACCCAUGGAGAACAGCAGAGUGUUCACAAUACAAUCGAAAAACAUGAACAGCUUCUGGAUGUUUUCAUAGAGUCUAGUUUGCUUGCAUUUCCAAUCCAACAUGAAAGGGGGGCGGGGAGAGAAUCUAAUUUACAGGAAGAAAUGGCUUUGCUCAUCACAAUCUAGCACUCCAGACCCACAUUUCAGUUACCUUGCAUAUCCCAACACUUCCCACGUAGCAAGCACAUUAACUUCUACAUACUGUAGUAAGUUAUCAAUGUGAAUCGAAAGGUGACUAUUCCUCCUCCUGCCUGUGAAACAACUGUUCUAUGCUUGUAACACUGCUGUUUUAGCAACACAGUUGUAACAUCUGGUUAGCCUUGAAAAAACAUUUUUAAAAAAGUAAACACACAUAAAAUUAAAAAGUAUGUCAUACCAUUCAACUUCUAUACAUACAGGUUUGUUUCAUCUUGGUUUUAAUUUCCACCAAAAGCUCUUGAGAAACUAGGUGGUUAAAACAUCCACUGCUAUGUUAAGCAUUUGUGGCAGAUGGUGGCAUUAAGUGGCAAUAACAACAAACGAGUCCUUAUGGAAGUAGCACUUGGUUAAGAGAACACAGAAGGUGCAGAAGCUAGUACAAGUCUUAUAAAGUACACAGCUCUGAAUCCAUUCAGUAAACUGGAAAUUUCAAUACAUUCAAACACUCAAAAUAGCUCUCUCUCUGUUCAUGGAUGUACACUUAUAAAUGUUUCUCUCAGA